rnacentral:lncRNA from 1 species
GUCUUGAAUAGAACAACUUUCCAAGGCAGAAAGUGAUGAGCAGUUACAUGAAAGGAUUGAAUGGAGAAAUACUGAUGAUGCCACAAGGGACACAGACAGUGAAGACAGCACUUCAGAUGAUGAUUAUGUACCAUCCAUCUGUCUCAGAACUGGAAGAGUCAAAACGGACUUUGUGAAGAUUCAGGAGCUUCCAGUUCUUGGCCUUGAAGAGACCGUUCAUAUUGCAACGCAAAAUGAAGUAGUACCAGUACGAGAAGAUCAUGUAUCCAUGUCUUCUGGCAUCCAACAUGUCUUGUGUGAAGAGGACAUCGUUGGACAAAAGGCAUCAAUCGUCUAUGAGUCAAUGCUGAAACACCUGGUCACAUUUUUGCAGCUGCCGAUGGUGAGGUGUAAUUUCAUUGAGACAGUUACAAAAGAGUCAUGCCAGGCUUCCGGACCUUUUGAAGUCCAGCUUUCUUCAAGAGGAACUGGUACUGUCAUACGCUGGGUAAAUAUAUGUACAUGCAUUU